UGGGGAAUAUUGGACAAUGGGCGAAAGCCUGAUCCUGCCAUGCCGCGUGUGUGAAGAAGGCCUUUUGGUUGUAAAGCACUUUAAGUGGGGAGGAAAAGCUUAUGGUUAAUACCCAUAAGCCCUGACGUUACCCACAGAAUAAGCACCGGCUAACUCUGUGCCAGCAGCCGCGGUAAUACAGAGGGUGCAAGCGUUAAUCGGAAUUACUGGGCGUAAAGCGCGCGUAGGUGGUUAUUUAAGUCAGAUGUGAAAGCCCCGGGCUUAACCUGGGAACUGCAUCUGAUACUGGAUAACUAGAGUAGGUGAGAGGGGAGUAGAAUUCCAGGUGUAGCGGUGAAAUGCGUAGAGAUCUGGAGGAAUACCGAUGGCGAAGGCAGCUCCCUGGCAUCAUACUGACACUGAGGUGCGAAAGCGUGGGUAGCAAACAGGAUUAGAUACCCUGGUAGUCCACGCCGUAAACGAUGUCUACCAGUCGUUGGGUCUUUUAAAGACUUAGUGACGCAGUUAACGCAAUAAGUAGACCGCCUGGGGAGUACGGCCGCAAGGUUA
rnacentral:rRNA from 1 species